rnacentral:ncRNA from 1 species
AUCGCGCCACCUUUAUUAUUUUCUAGAAUGGUUUGUACCGAGCCUUUACCAAAACUUUGCUGCCCCAUAAUCACCGCACGUUUAUGAUCUUGUAGCGCACCUGCGACAAUUUCUGAAGCGGAAGCAGAGCCACCAUUAAUCAACACAACAAUGGGAGCGCCUUUUAACAUAUCAUCCGGACCCGCUUUAAAAUUCAUUUUAGAAUGCUCAAUUCGGCCUUCUGUAUAUACAAUCAAACCGGAGUCCAAGAAAGAGUCACUCACCGAAACAGCUGCAUUUAAUAAGCCACCAGGGUUAUUACGUAA